CCUACGGGUGGCAGCAGUGAGGAAUAUUGGUCAAUGGGCGGGAGCCUGAACCAGCCAAGUCGCGUGAGGGACGACGGUCCUAUGGAUUGUAAACCUCUUUUGUCGGGGAACAAAGGCGCCCACGUGUGGGAUUUUGUAUGUACCAUAUGAAUAAGGAUCGGCUAACUCCGUGCCAGCAGCCGCGGUAAUACGGAGGAUCCGAGCGUUAUCCGGAUUUAUUGGGUUUAAAGGGAGCGUAGGUGGAUUGUUAAGUCAGUUGUGAAAGUUUGCGGCUCAACCGUAAAAUUGCAGUUGAAACUGGCAGUCUUGAGUACAGUAGAGGUGGGCGGAAGUCGUGGUGUAGCGGUGAAAUGCUUAGAUAUCACGAAGAACUCCGAUUGCGAAGGCAGUUCACUGGACUGCAACUGACACUGAGGCUCGAAAGUGUGGGUAUCAAACAGGAUUAGAUACCCUGGUAGUC
rnacentral:rRNA from 1 species